GGGGACGAACCGACGCCGAGUGUGGACGAGUCGACGCCGACGAUCGCCGGUGUAGAUCUAUCUGCGGAGCUUGCCGGAGAUCAAUCAAGGAGACAAGGAUCAUCUUGAUUUCCUCUGCUCAACCCUUCCCCGAUCUUUCUUCUCGUUUCUGCCGACCCUCUCUCCCCCGAUCCGAUCACCGGCUUGAAUGCCCUAGGGUUUCGAAGGAAGGAGAGAUCGGAUCCAAUUACGUGCUGUAACCCACAGAUCGGUUCUGGGAUGUUUCCUUCUUUGCUGUGAUUGAGGUUUCGGUUGAAGUGGGGGAGGAUUUCAGCAGAGUUGCUGUGGUUUCUUUGAUCCAGCAAGGAAAUUCCUCUCAUUGUGCUGUCGGCAGAGGCUUCAGAUCAGUGAGGACUCUGAUUCGAGACGGGCGUCUCGACUUCGGAUUUGGAUUGUACCUGCUAUUUGAGGCGGGUACCCUUUGACUUAU